GCACUUUAGCUUGCUCUCGCUUCACUGGUGUGAGAGCCGACUUCUUCAGGAUUCCCCCAUGCACUGAACAACUACUGGAUUCUUGGACUUUCCAUUUGGAGACAGAGAACUAACUGGACCACAAUGUUUUGCUUUCUAGCACUGUGAUAAAUCACCACAACCGAAAGCAACUUGUGGAGGAAAGAGUUUAUUGGCUUACAUGUCCACAGUACAAUCCAUCACUGAGGGAAGCUGAGGCAGGAACAUGGAGGCAGGAACUGCAGCAGAGAUCAUGGAGGAAAACUACUUACUCCCAGCGGCUUUCUUGGGACACCUUAGGUCCACCUGCCCAGUGUGGGCUGGGUCCUCCUACAUCAAUCAUUAACCAAGAAACUGCCCCGCAGCCUUAGCCCACAGGCCAAUCUGAUAGACACUGUUUCCAGAUGACUCUAACCUAUGAAAAGUUGACAGGGCAGUGCCCAUUGCCACCUGUGCUGGUGCCAGGAUGACGUUGCCUAAGUUCAUGAAGAUGUCCCCCAUGUUUUCUUCUAAGAGUUUUAGAAUUCUGCUUACUGCCUUUAUGUCUGUGAUCCAUUUGCAGUUAACGCCUGUGUAUGAUGCAAUGAAAAUGUCAAAUUCCA